CCCAGAGCUUAACUCUGGAACUGCCAUCAAAACUUUUCAGCUAGAGUAUGAUAGAGGAAAGCAGAAUUUCUAGUGUAGAGGUGAAAUUCGUAGAUAUUAGAAAGAAUACCAAUUGCGAAGGCAGCUUUCUGGAUCAUUACUGACACUGAGGAACGAAAGCAUGGGUAGCGAAGAGGAUUAGAUACCCUCGUAGUCCAUGCCGUAAACGAUGUGUGUUAGACGUUGGAAAUUUAUUUUCAGUGUCGCAGCGAAAGCGAUAAACACACCGCCUGGGGAGUACGACCGCAAGGUUAAAACUCAAAUGAAUUGACGGGGACCCGCACAAGUAGUGGAGCAUGUGGUUUAAUUCGAAGAUACGCGCAGAACCUUACCAACACUUGACAUGUUCGUCGCGACUUUAAGAGAUUAAAGUUUUCGGUUCGGCCGGACGAAACACAGGUGCUGCAUGGCUGUCGUCAGCUCGUGUCGUGAGAUGUUGGGUUAAGUCCCGCAACGAGCGCAACCCUCACUUUUAGUUGCCAUCAUUAAGUUGGGCACUCUGAAAGAACUGCCAGUGAUAAGCCGGAGGAAGGUGGGGAUGACGUCAAGUCCUCAUGGCCCUUACGUGUUGGGCUACACACGUGCUACAAUGGCAUUGACAAUAGGAAGCAAGACGGCGACGUCAAGCAAAUCCUAAAAAUAUGCCUCAGUUCGGAUUGUACUCUGCAACUCGAGUACAUGAAGCUGGAAUUACUAGUAAUCGCGGAUCAGCGCGCCGCGGUGAAUACGUUCCCGGGUCUUGUACACACCGCCCGUCACACCAUGGGAGUUGGUUCUACCUUAAGGCAAAGCUUAAAAACUUUGACCACGGUAUAGUCAGCGACUGGGGUGAAGUCGUAACAAGGUAGCCG
rnacentral:rRNA from 1 species